UACGAGGGGUGCAAGCGUUGCUCGGAAUUAUUGGGCGUAAAGGGUAGGUAGGUGGUCUCAUUUGUCUGGGGUGAAAGCCUUGGGCUUAACUCAAGAAGUGCCCCGGAAACGGUGAGACUAGAGUGCUGGAGAGGGUCGUGGAAUUCCCGGUGUAGCGGUGAAAUGCGUAGAGAUCGGGAGGAACACCAGAGGCGAAGGCGGCGACCUGGACAGCUACUGACACUCAAAUACGAAAGCGUGGGGAGCAAACAGG
rnacentral:rRNA from 1 species